UACAGAGGGUGCGAGCGUUAAUCGGAGUUACUGGGCGUAAAGGGCGCGUAGGCGGUCUUUUAAGUUGGGCGUGAAAUCCCUGGGCUUAACCUAGGAACGGCGUUCAAUACUAGAAGGCUGGAGUAUUGUAGAGGGCAGUGGAAUUUCCGGUGUAGCGGUGAAAUGCGUAGAGAUCGGAAGGAACACCAGUGGCGAAGGCGGCUGCCUGGACAAAUACUGACGCUGAGGCGCGAGAGCGUGGGGAGCAAACAGG
rnacentral:rRNA from 1 species